GCUAGUUAUCAACCUAUGCUCCGGGUUGAAAGACGAAACUCUUACAGUGAUACAUAUUAAAUCUGAAUAAUUGCUAAAACAAAAACAAAAGAUAGUGAUGAUGACUAAUCAACUAAAAGUAUGGAAUCAAUCAAUUAACUUGAAAUUCCCAAGUCAUGUCAGCCUCAAUUUUUAAUAAAAGAGUGCCAGAAAAAUACUAUUGAGCAGCAUUACUUAGAAAUGGCAUUUAUUUCUUAUUUCACUUUCUCCCUUCCCUUGCAGUUAUGAAAAGUAAUCACACAAAAACGAAAUUACCCUACAUCAUGGAUAGUGAAGUGCAGCACAUACACAAACAACUAUUUUGUUGAAAAUUACAGAUGCAUAUUUGUCAAGGAACCACUCAGCCUAA
rnacentral:misc_RNA from 1 species